UUGAGCCGGAUGAGUGCGAAAGUCUCAUGUCCGGUUCUUAGGGGAGGGGAAAGGGGCGACCCUCGAACCUUACCCGAC
rfam:Oscillatoria nigro-viridis PCC 7112 plasmid pOSC7112.02, complete sequence.